UCUUGGAAGAAGAAGACGACGACGAAGGGCCGGAGGCGGAGGCAGCGGGUGAGUGCGCGGCGCCGGAGCUAGAGAAGGACGGCGCCGCCGCCGGGGACUGGGAGGUCACCGUGGAGGCGGAGGCGGCGGCGAGCAGCAGGAGGAGCGCAGGGAGGAGGCGAGCCAUGGCAGUGAGCGAGAGCCUAGGAGAAGUGCAAGCUGAAGCUGGUCCUGGUCACUCUCACUCUCAGUCUCUCACUCUCACUCCACAAGGAGAGGAAAUAAAAACCAGUGAUGCAGUGGCCACUGAGGAGUGGUGAGAACUG
rnacentral:lncRNA from 1 species